GGAGUGGCGAACGGGUGAGUAACACGUGGGUAACCUGCCCAUCAGAAGGGGAUAACACUUGGAAACAGGUGCUAAUACCGUAUAACAAUCGAAACCGCAUGGUUUCGGUUUGAAAGGCGCUUUUGCGUCACUGAUGGAUGGACCCGCGGUGCAUUAGCUAGUUGGUGAGGUAACGGCUCACCAAGGCAACGAUGCAUAGCCGACCUGAGAGGGUGAUCGGCCACAUUGGGACUGAGACACGGCCCAAACUCCUACGGGAGGCAGCAGUAGGGAAUCUUCGGCAAUGGACGCAAGUCUGACCGAGCAACGCCGCGUGAGUGAAGAAGGUUUUCGGAUCGUAAAACUCUGUUGUUAGAGAAGAACAAGGAUGAGAGUAAAAUGUUCAUCCCUUGACGGUAUCUAACCAGAAAGCCACGGCUAACUACGUGCCAGCAGCCGCGGUAAUACGUAGGUGGCAAGCGUUGUCCGGAUUUAUUGGGCGUAAAGCGAGCGCAGGCGG
rnacentral:rRNA from 1 species